rnacentral:lncRNA from 1 species
GAACAAACAUAAUUGCGGGUGUUAGUUUGGGUCUGGAAUCCACAGCUCUACCUGUCCUUGUCAUAAGCUUGGCUAUUGUUUCUGCUUUCUGGCUUGGUCGCACGUCAGGAUUAACAGACGAAGCUGGAAAUCCAACUGGGGGGUUGUUUGGCACUGCUGUAGCAACUAUGGGAAUGCUUAGUACGGCUGCGUAUGUUCUCACCAUGGAUAUGUUUGGUCCAAUAGCUGAUAAUGCUGGUGGGAUUGUUGAGAUGAGCCAACAGGUGAGGCUUAUGUUUUUGAGCAAAAGCACGAGGUUGUGACUUCUUUUUUUCUUGUAAAUUUUUGUUAGCUUGGUUAGCUCAAUAAGCCUUUUUCAUGCACAGCCUGAAAGUGUUCGUGAGAUAACUGAUGUUCUUGAUGCUGUUGGAAACACUACUAAAGCUACAACCAAGGGAUUUGCAAUUGGAUCUGCAGCACUUGCAUCAUUUCUUCU